rnacentral:lncRNA from 1 species
CCACCCUGUGCUUAGCACUUCUCCUGGCUGCUGCGAUGUGAAGGAUGUGUUUGCUUCCUCUCGCACCUUGAUUAUAAGUUUCCUGAGGCCUUCCCCAGCCAUGCUGAAUUCCUUUUCAGAUUAAUGCCAAGAAAAUAUAUGCAGAAGAGACACCCAUGUCAUUGAACAAGAGGUUCUAAUAUUACAUAACAGGGUAGUGGUAUGUAGCUGUAGUGGUAUGUGCUCUCUCUCAAUGCUGAGCUGCAGCUCCCAGUCAGCCACUGGAUCAUGAGGGUAAAAUACGGAUACUUGACAUCUUCUUAAAGAACAUCAUGCCUGCUAAGCCAUCCAGUUUGGAUGCCCCAGUGCCUUCCACCAGCCAUUCUCAAGCCUCAUUAGAAGAGAGAGAUUGAUGACCCUGUAGCUGCAGCAUCCCAUCAUCCUGCAUUUUAGUUCAAUGCUUCAAACGUUCUUCAGGCCCAGUGUGCUUUCAGCUGUGUAUGUUAAUGGUCUGCGGCUUCACUCCUGAAGCCAGCGAGAGCGAGACCACGAACCCACCGGAAGGAAGAAACUCCGGACACAUCUGAACAUCUGAAGGAACAAACUCCGGACACACCAUCUUUAAGAACUGUAACACUCACCACGAGGGUCCACAGCUUCAUUCCUGAAGUUAGCAAGACCAAGAACCCACUGGAAGGAAC